GGCCAGAAAUGGUGAGAAGAAAAAGCAUGAAGAAGCCGCGAAGUGGAGGAGAAAAGGUGAAGGGAGAUGCAGCUCCUGGAGAAAUUGUAAAAAGCCUUGCAAAGAGUUGUCGGAAGGACCGUUAUUCCUGCUGGGCAGCGAGAGGAGAGACCCUGCAACACACGCCACCUAUCUUUGUGGGGAGGGAUAAUUGGAGAGCACCAAACAUAUGGAUCAGGGGUGAGAUGGGCUCUUUUCCUGGCUCUGCUUUUUCUUGGAAGUAGCUGGAUGAGUAGAGAGAGACAGCGUGGACGAGUAACGCGUGGGGCUGAACUUCAUGGAGGUUUUCCUGUAUGGAAAUGCUGGAAAUUGAGAUGAGAGUGGCCUGAUCCUGAUGCAGACCUGCCUGGUUAAAGCCACAGGAGAAGCAGUCCUGCCUCCAGCUCCUCGGUGGGUCUCCUUUGUCCACCAAAACCUAUUGUGACGAAGAUAAGCCCCUUGGAGCUAACCCCGUGUUCCCACCACUGUGUGGAUCUGCAGGGCCAGCCAGGGGCAGAUCCUGCUGCCAGGGACAAACCCUACCAUGAGAAAGGGGCUGUGCAGGGAGAGACCUCCCUGUGAUCCCCAGGCACGCAGCUCUGACUGAGAGGGGAGGUGAGCAGCCACCAAGGAGGCUUUGGGGCACGGGCCCUGCAGGACCUGAGCCUUCUGCUGAGACCUUCUGCUGUGGUGGCUUUAUGGGGAUGUGGUGGCAUGGGCUGAGGGGAUGAUUCACUGCCUUAUUUAUUUUGGUGUGUUUGCUUUUUCCCUGGUGGAGGAUGAGUAACGGGGACUGUGUUUUCUUGCCCACCACGUGGAAGGAGGAAAACUGAGGGAACAGGAGCAAAGAUGUUCUGGCUGAUGCAUUUUGGCUAAUACAUUUUAGAGGCUGGUGAAGACAGAGGUUUAACACCUCUAAAUACACUUUAGCAGCUCUGAGGCUUUUCCUUCAUGUCUUUCAUAGCCAGAACUCUCGACUAUUUUCCCUAAAGUGUGGAACCCUUCCUACAUCAGGGAUUAAACAUCCCCAUGUAGGGGAUCCAGAUGAGAUGUGCCCACUUGCAGCCAAGCCUGGGGAGAGCAUCCUUCCCUCCCCACAGCCCUGCUCCGCUGAGGGAGCUGCUCCUGCAAGAUUUGGGAUCCCUGUGGGUUCUGGCUGCUUCUCAUGCUCCUGUCUCUGGGGUGUAGAAGAUGUCCUCGCCUUGAGAAAGAAGAGGUUGCAAAAAAUCCCCCAAAUCAAAGACAAAAAGAUGCUGGGGGGAUUAUUUUCUGCAGUCACCUGUGGCAGUAGAGGAUAAGACAGGCUGGAAUAAUUUUUGUGAGCAGGGAAGGCCCCAUGUGGGCCCAAGAUGCCGCUGGAUACUUUUGCUGAGUACAGGUGUUCCUAUAAACCAAGAUUUAGAAAGCGAAGCCUUUAUUUUUUUUCCAAUUUCCACAUGGGGGAGAGGGCACAGAGGAGAGGAAGAAAGGAUCAGGGAACGACUCUCCCCCCACCCGCUGAUGAGGUAUUUGGGAAGAAACCUUUUGAAUCAACAUUCCCAAAGUUUUUGAGUUCCUCUGCGGAAAACCCAUGUAGGGAUAGGAUACGAGCCAAAAGCAAGGGAAAAGAUUGUCUGGCUUUAAUUUAUCUAUCCCUGGGCAUUUCUAACCAGCAGAUCACUGUAAUAUUUGAUCUUGUGUGAGUCCCUGAACGUUAAAAGUGAAUCUCCUCAUAUGUUUUUGUUAAUUUUGUCAUUUAUAAAGCCACUUCUGACGGCCUAGAGCUGCUCAGCUGCCGUUCACAACGUCUGUCUGUGUGUCUGCAGCAAGGGAACGGCAUCCACAGGUCCCAAAAUUUCUUUUCUUGUUGGGCAGAGAACAGUGAGGGACAAGCAUCUUCUCUCCACUGUGCCACACCAUGAGCUGGAGAUGCUUUUCCUUCUCUUCUGGGAUCAAUGCUGAAGUUCGGCCACAUUUCUUGGCUCAGUUGGCAGUGAUUAAAAUUCACGGCUCACUUUUGUUUAUAGUUGGUUGUUUACUUUGUUGAAUUUUUAAAAACUUGUUAGAAUGCAAUUGAACACAGAUUCAACAGUAUUUAGGCUUGAAAAAUA